rnacentral:rRNA from 1 species
CCUACGGGAGGCAGCAGUGAGGAAUAUUGGUCAAUGGACGAGAGUCUGAACCAGCCAAGUAGCGUGAAGGAUGACUGCCCUAUGGGUUGUAAACUUCUUUUAUAAAGGAAUAAAACGAGGCACGUGUGCCUUUUUGCAUGUACCUUAUGAAUAAGGAUCGGCUAACUCCGUGCCAGCAGCCGCGGUAAUACGGAGGAUCCGAGCGUUAUCCGGAUUUAUUGGGUUUAAAGGGAGCGUAGAUGGGUUGUUAAGUCAGUUGUGAAAGUUUGCGGCUCAACCGUAAAAUUGCAGUUGAUACUGGCAGUCGUGAGUACAGUUGAGGUAGGCGGAAUGCGUGGUGUAGCGGUGAAAUGCUUAGAUAUCACGAAGAACCCCGAUUGCGAAGGCAGCUUACUAACCUCUGACUGACAUUGAUGCUCGAAAGUGUGGGUAUCAAACAGGAUUAGAUACCCGUGUAGUC